rnacentral:rRNA from 1 species
UACGAAGGGGGCUAGCGUUGCUCGGAAUCACUGGGCGUAAAGGGUGCGUAGGCGGGUCUUUAAGUCAGGGGUGAAAUCCUGGAGCUCAACUCCAGAACUGCCUUUGAUACUGAGGAUCUUGAGUUCGGGAGAGGUGAGUGGAACUGCGAGUGUAGAGGUGAAAUUCGUAGAUAUUCGCAAGAACACCGGUGGCGAAGGCGGCUCACUGGCCCGAUACUGACGCUGAGGCACGAAAGCGUGGGGAGCAAACAGG